UCUCUCUAAACUCUCAAAACCUUGAAGACCGUCUCUCUCAGCCUCAACCUAGAACACAUCACCAUCGACGAACUCUGCCGGCCAGCUCCGGUGAAGGACGACAACUGUCGAUGGAUGACGACCAGUUUCGGCUAACAUAUGAGCAAUCUCCGAGGUAGGCUAAACCUUGAAGACAUCGGCUCUCUCAGCCUCAACCCAGAACACAUCGACCUCACCAUCGACGAACUCUGUCGGCCAGCUCCGAUGUAGGAUGACAACUGCCGGUGAAUGACGACCAGUUUCGGCUAACAUACGAGCAAUCUCCGAGCUACACAGAGAAAGAAUAUAGAGGUCGUUGAAUCUGUUGGUGUAGCAGGAAAAUCUGAUCCCGAUAGGAAAGUCAAGCACUUCACACUGGAGGUAAGUGUACUUUUUCCUUUCUCCCACAACAUAGUAUCUAGCUGCUUUCCUCAAUGAGUGUUGAGUACAAAGGGCCAGUUAAAUUUCCAAGCGGAACUGCAAAUUGUGACAUUGUAAUCUCUAUCAAAAGAAAGGUGGAGAGAUGUGAUGUAUCUGAGCGUGUUAAUAAAUGGAAUGCUAUUUUGAUGAUA